rnacentral:tRNA from 1 species
CUAGGUGUAGGCCAGCUUGGUAGGUCGCUCCCCUCGGACGGGAGAAGUCGCAGGUUCAAAUCCUGUCACCUAGACCA